AGGAUGAACGCUGGCGGCGUGCUUAACACAUGCAAGUCGAACGGUGAAGCAGGAGCUUGCUCCUGUGGAUCAGUGGCGAACGGGUGAGUAACACGUGAGAAAUCUGCCCUGGACUCUGGGAUAAGCGUUGGAAACGACGUCUAAUACCGGAUACGAGCUUCAGCCGCAUGGCUAGGAGCUGGAAAGAACUUCGGUCCAGGAUGAUCUCGCGGCCUAUCAGCUAGUUGGUGAGGUAACGGCCCACCAAGGCGACGACGGGUAGCCGGCCUGAGAGGGUGACCGGCCACACUGGGACUGAGACACGGCCCAGACUCCUACGGGAGGCAGCAGUGGGGAAUAUUGCACAAUGGGCGCAAGCCUGAUGCAGCAACGCCGCGUGAGGACGACGGCCGUUCGGUUGUAACCUACGUUUAGUAGGAAGAAGCGAGAGUGACGUACUGCAGAAAAGCACGGACUAACUACGUGACCGAGACACGCCGCGGUAACUCGU
rnacentral:rRNA from 1 species